AGUGCAAUUGCUGGGUCCUAGGGUGAUAUUUCACUUUUUAAGAAACUGCCAAGCUGUUUUCCAAAGUGGCUAUACCAUUUUGCAUUUUCACUAGCAAU
rnacentral:pre_miRNA from 1 species